rnacentral:rRNA from 1 species
CAAUGGGCGCAAGCCUGAUGCAGCCAUGCCGCGUGUAUGAAGAAGGCCUUCGGGUUGUAAAGUACUUUCAGCGGGGAGGAAGGUGUUGUGGUUAAUAACCACAGCAAUUGACGUUACCCGCAGAAGAAGCACCGGCUAACUCCGUGCCAGCAGCCGCGGUAAUACGGAGGGUGCAAGCGUUAAUCGGAAUUACUGGGCGUA